GACGAACGCUGGCGGCGUGCUUAACACAUGCAAGUCGAACGGAAAGGCCCCUUUGGGGGUCCUCGAGUGGCGAACGGGUGAGUAACACGUGAGUAACCUGCCCUUGACUUCGGGAUAACUUCAGGAAACUAGGGCUAAUACCGGAUAGGAAUCCUUGCUGCAUGGUGGGGGUUGGAAAGCUUCGGCGGUUUUGGAUGGACUCGCGGCUUAUCAGCUUGUUGGUGGGGUAGUGGCUUACCAAGGCUUUGACGGGUAGCCGGCCUGAGAGGGCGACCGGCCACAUUGGGACUGAGAUACGGCCCAGACUCCUACGGGAGGCAGCAGUGGGGAAUAUUGCACAAGGGGCGGAAGCCUGAUGCAGCAACGCCGCGUGCGGGAUGACGGCCUUCGGGUUGUAAACCGAUUUCAGCAGGGGCGAAGCUUGUGGUGACGGUACCUGCAGAAGAAGCACCGGCUAACUACGUG
rnacentral:rRNA from 1 species